GGAGGUAUAGCUUAAGUGGUAGAGUGCAUGCUUGACAUGCAUGAGGUCGGUCCUGGGUUCAAUCCCCAGUAUCUCUU
rnacentral:tRNA from 1 species